rnacentral:sRNA from 1 species
UCGUGCGAGAGCGAGAGAUAGAGCUAC